rnacentral:rRNA from 1 species
UGGGGAAUUUUGGACAAUGGGGGAAACCCUGAUCCAGCCAUCCCGCGUGUGCGAUGAAGGCCUUCGGGUUGUAAAGCACUUUUGGCAGGAAAGAAACGUCGCGGGUUAAUACCCCGCGAAACUGACGGUACCUGCAGAAUAAGCACCGGCUAACUACGUGCCAGCAGCCGCGGUAAUACGUAGGGUGCAAGCGUUAAUCGGAAUUACUGGGCGUAAAGCGUGCGCAGGCGGUUCGGAAAGAAAGAUGUGAAAUCCCAGAGCUUAACUUUGGAACUGCAUUUUUAACUACCGGGCUAGAGUGUGUCAGAGGGAGGUGGAAUUCCGCGUGUAGCAGUGAAAUGCGUAGAUAUGCGGAGGAACACCGAUGGCGAAGGCAGCCUCCUGGGAUAACACUGACGCUCAUGCACGAAAGCGUGGGGAGCAAACAGGAUUAGAUACCCUGGUAGUCCACGCCCUAAACGAUGUCAACUAGCUGUUGGGGGCCUUCGGGCCUUGGUAGCGCAGCUAACGCGUGAAGUUGACCGCCUGGGGAGUACGGUCGCAAGAUUAAAACUCAAAGGAAUUGACGGGG